rnacentral:rRNA from 1 species
AGAGUUUGAUCCUGGCUCAGAACGAACGCUGGCGGCAGGCUUAACACAUGCAAGUCGAACGCCCUCUUUUGAGGGAGUGGCAGACGGGUGAGUAACGCGUGGGAAUCUACCUAGUGGUAAGGAACAACACGGAGAAAUUUGUGCUAAUACCUUAUACGCCCUCCGGGGGAAAGAUUUAUCGCCAUUAGAUGGGCCCGCGUUUGAUUAGCUAGUUGGUGAGGUAAUGGCUCACCAAGGCGACGAUCAAUAGCUGGUCUGAGAGGAUGAUCAGCCACACUGGGACUGAGACACGGCCCAGACUCCUACGGGAGGCAGCAGUGGGGAAUAUUGGACAAUGGGCGCAAGCCUGAUCCAGCCAUGCCGCGUGUGUGAUGAAGGCCUUAGGGUUGUAAAGCACUUUCAACGGUGAAGAUAAUGACGGUAACCGUAGAAGAAGCUCCGGCUAACUUCGUGCCAGC